AGCGAUGCCGCGUGAGUGAAGAAGGCCUUUGGGUUGUAAAGCUCUUUCGUCGGGGAAGAAAAUGACUGUACCCGAAUAAGAAGGUCCGGCUAACUUCGUGCCAGCAGCCGCGGUAAUACGAAGGGACCUAGCGUAGUUCGGAAUUACUGGGCUUAAAGAGUUCGUAGGUGGUUAAAAAAGUUGGUGGUGAAAUCCCAAAGCUUAACUCUGGAACUGCCAUCAAAACUUUUUAGCUAGAGUAUGAUAGAGGAAAGCAGAAUUUCUAGUGUAGAGGUGAAAUUCGUAGAUAUUAGAAAGAAUACCAAUUGCGAAGGCAGCUUUCUGGAUCAUU
rnacentral:rRNA from 1 species